AACCUUGUAUUUUAUAAAAAAAUUUUGAUUUUUUAAAUCAAAGAAAAGAAAUCUUCAUGGUU
rnacentral:tRNA from 1 species